rnacentral:rRNA from 1 species
AAUCAACGCUGGCGGCGUGCCUAACACAUGCAAGUCGAGCGAGAAAGUGUAGCAAUACAUGAGUACAGCGGCGCACGGGUGAGUAACACGUGGGUAAUCUGCCCUAGAGUGGGGAAUAACACCGGGAAACCGGUGCUAAUACCGCAUACGAUCACGAUGUCUGCGGAUGUUGUGACGAAAGGAGCAAUUCGCUCUUGGAGGAGCCCGCGGCUGAUUAGCUAGUUGGUAAGGUAACGGCUUACCAAGGCAACGAUCAGUAGCCGGUCUGAGAGGACGGUCGGCCACGCUGGAACUGAGACACGGUCCAGACUCCUACGGGAGGCAGCAGUGGGGAAUUUUUCGCAAUGGGGGCAACCCUGACGAAGCAACGCCGCGUGGGUGAUGAAGUCUCUUGGGACGUAAAACCCUUUCGACGGGGAAGAAACCGCAAGGUUGACGGUACCCGUAGAAGAAGCCCCGGCUAACUCCGUGCCAGCCGCCGCGGUAAAAC